ACUGCAGCUGAACGAUUCAGAGAUGAUGAGGCCCUUCGGGGCAGCUGUGGAGGUGCUGCAUGGUUGUCGUCAGCUCGUGCCGUGAGGUGUCGGCUUAAGUGCCAUAACGAGCGCAACCCCUUUUCUUAGUUGCCAUCAGGUGAUGCUGGGCACUCUGGGAAUACUGCCACCGUAAGGUGUGAGGAAGGUGGGGAUGACGUCAAAUCAGCACGGCCCUUACGUCCGGGGCUACACACGUGUUACAAUGGCGCAUACAGAAUGUUGGUUUCAUGCAAAUGAGAUCUAAUCUUCAAAGUGCGUCUCAGUUCGGACUGGGGUCUGCAACCCGACCCCACGAAGCUGGAUUCGCUAGUAAUCGCGCAUCAGCCAUGGCGCGGUGAAUACGUUCCCGGGCCUUGUACACACCGCCCGUCAAGCCAUGAAAGCCGGGGGCGCCUAAAGUCCGUGACCGCAAGGGUCGGCCUAGGGUGAAACUGGUGAUUGGGGCUAAGUCGUAACAAGGUAACC
rnacentral:rRNA from 1 species